CCGUCCCCUGAAUCAGGCGUGCCAGUCAUUCGUCAGCAGGGACCAGGGAGGAAAGGUGGCACAGAGAAUACCGCGUGAACAUGCACCGCCUUUCAAGGCCGCGGCCCCGCCCCUUAGCGAUAGUCUUCCCAGCGCUGUGGGUCCUGACGGAUCAGAGAGAAGAACAUUAUGGGACUCCAAUAGAAGAAGUAGGUUAAAGAGUGUUUUCCUCCCUCUACCCCCUACCAGGUGUGCGUGGGAGAUGAUGUCAUCUAUAACCUUCAUUUGCUCCUUUGCUAGCCUUAAUGUAAGCAUCUUUAACUCUGAAGUGUUCUGUCCCGGGACUGGAUGCUUACUCAUUCUGCAGAGGAUGCAGAAAGGUCACCACACUUACAGCUAAGCCACUGGAAGCAAAUCUGGUGACCCUCCCAAGAGAAAGCCCCUGCUCUGCCCUCAUGUUAAUUUCUUCUGGGCAGAAAUUAUGACCCACAGAGGUAUCUAGUCA
rnacentral:lncRNA from 1 species